rnacentral:rRNA from 1 species
AUGCACGCUGGCGGCGUGCCUAAUACAUGCAAGUCGCGCGAACAGACGAGGAGCUUGCUCCUCUGACGUUAGCGGCGGACGGGUGAGUAACACGUGGAUAACCUACCUAUAAGACUGGGAUAACUUCGGGAAACCGGAGCUAAUACCGGAUAAUAUAUUGAACCGCAUGGUUCAAUAGUGAAAGACGGUUUUGCUGUCACUUAUAGAUGGAUCCGCGCCGCAUUAGCUAGUUGGUAAGGUAACGGCUUACCAAGGCGACGAUGCGUAGCCGACCUGAGAGGGUGAUCGGCCACACUGGAACUGAGACACGGUCCAGACUCCUACGGGAGGCAGCAGCAGGGAAUCUUCCGCAAUGGGCGAAAGCCUGACGGAGCAACGCCGCGUGAGUGAUGAAGGUCUUCGGAUCGUAAAACUCUGUUAUUAGGGAAGAACAAAUGUGUAAGUAACUAUGCACGUCUUGACGGUACCUAAUCAGAAAGCCACGGCUAACUACGUG